rnacentral:other from 1 species
CGUCCCCUGCGGUGUUAGUCCGGCCAAAUUCUUUGAACCAACUUUGUAAGAAUCGGUUGCUGAUCCUUUUUGGUGCCGUUGUGCGUAUCCUUCUGGAAUCGCCUGAAGCGCCAGGUAAGCGACCCCUUGAACCCCAGGUUCAAGAGCUGGCCAGACGGCAUCUGCGGGGGGCCU